rnacentral:lncRNA from 1 species
AAAUAUAGGGAGUUUACUGUUCACAUGGACAAAGUCUUUUCUAUAUUUGCACGGCGUCGCAUAAAUACAAGAUACACAUUACAAGAUACAACCACCAUAUGUGAACAUCCAUAUAUUCAUACACAAUUCACAUUCACAUUCACAUUCACAUCUAUCUGUUUAAAAUAUUUCCUACCCGGAAACUCAUUUUGAAACACUAAGUCAUGAAAACCAAGAAAAAUCUUUUAAAAACCGUUUCCCACACGGAAACCCUUUUUCUUUAAAAGCGCAUUACCACGAGGGGUAGAAAACUAUUUUCAUUUUGCAAGAAUCCAUAAAUCUUUUAUCCACGAAAUUCCAAUUAUUCAAUUAACAUGAAAUACUGAACCAUAAUUACUUUCUAAGUCAUUAUUUAAAAGAAACCGAGUUUA